AGCCCAGACUCCUACGGGAGGCAGCAGUGGGGAAUAUUGCACAAUGGGGGAAACCCUGAUGCAGCGACGCCGCGUGAGCGAUGAAGUAUUUCGGUAUGUAAAGCUCUAUCAGCAGGGAAGAAAAUGACGGUACCUGACUAAGAAGCCCCGGCUAACUACGUGCCAGCAGCCGCGGUAAUACGUAGGGGGCAAGCGUUAUCCGGAUUUACUGGGUGUAAAGGGAGCGUAGACGGUCCUGCAAGCCAGAUGUGAAAGCCCGGGGCUCAACCCCGGGACUGCAUUUGGAACUGUAAGGCUAGAGUGUCGGAGAGGCAGGCGGAAUUCCUGGUGUAGCGGUGAAAUGCGUAGAUAUCAGGAGGAACACCGGCGGCGAAGGCGGCCUGCUGGACCGUGACUGACGUUGAGGCUCGAGAGCGUGGGGAGCAAACAGGAUUAGAUACCCCAGUA
rnacentral:rRNA from 1 species